CACACCCGGCAGUCUGCGGAGAACACGUUUCCUUCCACCGCGCGCGCAGCGAGCGCCCCAGUCCCCGAGGAGGCUUGGGCACACAGUGUUUCCGAACGCGUCCAGCGCGCCAAGUUGUUCUAAACUACCCCCAUCCCCCGCUCCGCGGGGUUGCAGGCUGCACAGCCGCGUCCAAAUUUAGGCCCGAACGCAGGGCGUGGCUCCCCGCGCACAAACAAAGCCGGGGGCCCGGGGUGCGCCGGGGGGGACCCGGGGCCGCUGCAGGGGUGCACAGGGGCGCACACGCGGGCCGGGGGCACCUAAGCGCCACCGGCUCCCAGCCAAGUGCCUCCAACUACCGGAGUUUGUGAGUUUGAAAACACACGCUGCAUUUCGCCUCUGGAGGUACAGAACAUCUCAGAAGCGGGGAAAAUCCCUGAGUCAGAUUCCUGCAUUCCACCCUGCACACCCUACCCCCAUACCGGCGAGCUCCAACCCAGCGCGCUCUCCUCACCCUUGCAAGAGUCAGGGCCCCUCCUCCCCGGGCAUCCGGUCACCUUAGGGCCACCUACCUGGCUCAGACAGACACAGCGCAGCUGGAGGCUUGGAGGUGUCCUGUUUUCUACCCGCCAGUGCAGCGUGUGGACCCUGGGCCUGGGCACACGGGAGGCUCUUCUUGGGCAGCAAAGGGAUGCUGGAGCUGCUGCAGCCAUUUUGGCACUUUGAGGGCCACCUUCCUUGGCUCAAAAUGAAAAUUUCCGUCAUCUUUUGCAGAUGCUCUGAGAGCAUCAAGAAGCUCUAAGCUCCAGAAUAAAAAUUAAAUUAAUUGAAGAAA